rnacentral:rRNA from 1 species
CCUAGGGUGGCUGCAGUGGGGAAUAUUGGACAAUGGGCGAAAGCCUGAUCCAGCCAUGCCGCGUGUGUGUAGAAGGCCUUCGGGUUGUAAAGCACUUUCAGUGGGGAAGAAAGCCUUGGGGCUAAUACCCUCGAGGAAGGACAUCACCCACAGAAGAAGCACCGGCUAACUCCGUGCCAGCAGCCGCGGUAAUACGGAGGGUGCGAGCGUUAAUCGGAAUUACUGGGCGUAAAGCGCGCGUAGGCGGUCUGAUAAGCCGGUUGUGAAAGCCCCGGGCUCAACCUGGGAACGGCAUCCGGAACUGUCAGGCUAGAGUGCAGGAGAGGAAGGUAGAAUUCCCGGUGUAGCGGUGAAAUGCGUAGAGAUCGGGAGGAAUACCAGUGGCGAAGGCGGUCUUCUGGACUGACACUGACGCUGAGGUGCGAAAGCGUGGGUAGCAAACAGGAUUAGAUACCCGUGUAGUC